GCCGGACGCGGUGGCGCGCGCCUGUAGUCCCAGCUACCCGGGAGGCUGAGGCAGGAGGAUCGCUUGAGUCCAGGAGUUCUGGGCUGUAGUGCGCUAUGCCGAUCGGGUGUCCGCACUAAGUUCGGCAUCAAUAUGGUGACCUCCCGGGAGCAGGGGACCACCAGGUUGCCUAAGGAGGGGUGAACCGGCCCAGGUCGGAAACGGAGCAGGUCAAAACUCCCGUGCUGAUCAGUAGUGGGAUCGCGCCUGUGAAUAGCCACUGCACUCCAGCCUGGGCAACAUAGCGAGACCCCGUCUCUU
rnacentral:SRP_RNA from 1 species